UACGAAGGGGGCUAGCGUUGUUCGGAUUUACUGGGCGUAAAGCGCACGUAGGCGGAUCGUUAAGUCGGGGGUGAAAUCCUGGAGCUCAACUCCAGAACUGCCUUCGAUACUGGCGAUCUCGAGUCCGGAAGAGGUGAGUGGAACUCCUAGUGUAGAGGUGGAAUUCGUAGAUAUUAGGAAGAACACCAGUGGCGAAGGCGACUCACUGGUCCGGUACUGACGCUGAGGCACGAAGCUAGGGGAGCAAACAGG
rnacentral:rRNA from 1 species